GCAGCUUGCGGAGAGCAAAAAGUAUGAGCCUCUGAAGGAUACUGAUCAUUUUUUGAGUGCUUGGCUGGCAUUGGCAAUAGAAGUAACCCAUAAUGGAGCAAAGCAGCUGGAACAAGUAAGGCUUGAUGUUUUAAUCAGACACACAUAUACAGAUUUGUGUAAACAAUUUGUAAUUGAAUUUUGAGAAGUCUGUCGAAAAACAAUACUCAUACGUAAGUCAAAAGAUGCACUAAGAUAAUUGGGUUCUAGAAUUACAGCUGGCCUAAGAUUGAGCUAUCAUUAUUCAUGGACAUAGGACUUAGGCUUGCAAAGCAUAUAUUUUUAUUCAGUAUUAAUUAAUAAUUAUAAUUAUACGUGUAUAAACAUUUGCAACAGGACAAAGGAGAUCCGUGCGGAAUUUACAGUUUUGACCAUUGAUUUUAGAAUGCUUAAAUUAAGAGAAUUUUAAACUUUUGCCUUAUACACAUCAAGAGAUUUUACUUCGCAUUAAGUAUACACAAGGCAACAAAAGCUUUCUUUUCAUUCGAAAAUGAUGGUCUUAAAAUAUUCAAUUGCGGGUUUUUCCGCGUUAUCUCGUGGUUGACCUGUUGUCACAUAUAAGUUUAUUCCUGGAAGCUUAUAUCAAUUUGGCUAUAUAAGCACAAGAUUUCAUUGCAUAUGAAUCAGUAUAAUUGUUGAGGUUUGCACUACAGCUAUUCGAAAAUGAAGUGGCUGUCAAUUGUAUUUGUGUUGGGUCUGUUGGCUUUUGCCAGUGCCAAUCCCAUAUGGGGCUGGACGAAAAUCAUAAACGCUGGGUGUACUAACUGCAGUGUUCAUACAGGGCGAAGGCUGAAGAACUAAACUGAAGAAUGCCAAACAGCAUACAAACUACACAUUAUUUAGAUUCCGUAAUAAAAAUGGAAACUUAUCAGAUGAGAUUCUAGAAGUAAUGAUUGCAGCCAAAUCGCAUUUGUCUUAAACACAGUAAAUAUAAUAAAUACACAUUUAAUACAUU